AGAGGUAGCAACAUUGUGGCCACGGUUGUGU
rnacentral:piRNA from 1 species